AGUGUACUGUAACAGCAUGGCUA
rnacentral:siRNA from 1 species